AUUCCUCUACCCCCGCCACUGAUCUCCGCCUUUCUUCCCCUCUUUCUACUUCCACAGUUCACACACCUUACGAUUUCAAGAUGCCGUUUAAGAGAUACGUGGAGAUCGGGAGGGUAGCUCUCGUCAACUACGGUAAAGACUACGGGAGGCUCGUGGUCAUCGUCGAUGUCAUCGACCAGAACCGAGUACGUAUUUCUUUGCAUUUCUGUUUGGUAAAAGGAGAGAUCAUAUCUAUGUAGUGAUACAAUACCUUAUGUACUAAUGGGGGACUGCCUCUUGCGUUUCUAUUGUCCAAUCGCGUAUUGGUGCUUUUUGUUAUGCGUAUACUAUGGAUGUUGUUUGUUUGUUUCCUAUUUUUGUUGUUUGGUUUAUUUGGUUGUGUGUAGCAUAUCUGUGUUGUAUUUACUAUAGAAUUUUUAGCGUUAGCAUCCUGCACUUGCAUUUCUAGUGAGAAUUAUUGGGGUUGGCUGAUGGUAAAGGUCGGUGCAUCACCUCCUGCGUUCUCAGUUUUAAUCCCUGGAUAUGGAGACGGGUUUUCUAGGCUUGCUUAGUUAACCACCUGCGCAAAAGAGAAAUUAUGUCCAAGCAAUGGGAUCUGUUCUGAAUAUGAGCCCACAUUUAACAGGGUCAAGGUGCAAUGUUUGUAAACUUCUUAGGAUGUGAUGUUCCUUUAUGUGUACAUUUCAUUGUUUAGUUGCUGAAUGUGAAUCAUGGUUGUCUUAAGCAAUUAUUUGUUGUUUCUUGUCCUUGACAGGCUCUAGUCGAUGCUCCAGAUAUGGUCCGAAGCCAAAUGAAUUUCAAGAGGCUCUCACUCACUGACAUUAAGAUUGAAAUUAACAGAGUCCCCAAAAAGAAGAAUUUGAUUGAGGCAAUGGAGAAGGCUGGUAAGGACAACAUUCCCUGUGCAAAUCUAGUUUUGAUUUCUGCUUUUGAUGCCUAUCCCUUAUUCAAUUGUAUAUUCUGUGUU
rnacentral:misc_RNA from 1 species